UACGUAGGUGACAAGCGUUGUCCGGAUUUACUGGGCGUAAAGAGCGCGCAGGCGGUCGUUCAAGUCGAGUGUGAAAGCCCCCGGCUCAACUGGGGAGGGUCAUUCGAUACUGAUCGACUCGAAGGCAGGAGAGGGUAGUGGAAUUCCCGGUGUAGUGGUGAAAUGCGCAGAUAUCGGGAGGAACACCGAUGGCGAAGGCAAUCCCCUGGGCCUGCACUGACGCUCAUGCACGAAAGCGUGGGGAGCAAACAGG
rnacentral:rRNA from 1 species